rnacentral:rRNA from 1 species
UACGUAGGUGGCUAGCGUUGUCCGGAUUUACUGGGCGUAAAGAGCGCGCAGGCGGUCGUUCAAGUCGAGUGUGAAAGCCCCCGGCUCAACUGGGGAGGGUCACUCGAUACUGAUCGACUCGAAGGCAGGAGAGGGAAGUGGAAUUCCCGGUGUCGUGGUGAAAUGCGUAGAUAUCGGGAGGAACACCAGUGGCGAAGGCGACUUUCUGGCCUGUUCUUGACGCUGAGGCGCGAAAGCUAGGGUAGCAAACGGG